UACGUAGGGGGCAAGCGUUGUCCGGAAUCAUUGGGCGUAAAGAGCGCGUAGGCGGCCCUGUAAGUCCGCUGUGAAAGUCAAGGGCUCAACCCUUGGAUGCCGGUGGAUACUGCAGGGCUAGAGUCCGGAAGAGGCGAGUGGAAUUCCUGGUGUAGCGGUGAAAUGCGCAGAUAUCAGGAGGAACACCGAUGGCGAAGGCAGGUCACUGGGCCGCAACUGACGCUGAGGAGCGAAAGCAUGGGGAGCGAACAGG
rnacentral:rRNA from 1 species